rnacentral:rRNA from 1 species
AUUGAACGCUGGCGGCAGGCCUAACACAUGCAAGUCGAACGAGUGGCGGACGGGUGAGUAAUGUAUGGGAAACUGCCUGAUGGAGGGGGAUAACUACUGGAAACGGUAGCUAAUACCGCAUACCAUCGGAUGUGCCCAGAUGGGGUUAGCUAGUAGGUGGGGUAAAGGCUCACCUAGGCGAAGAUCCCUAGCUGGUCUGCGAGGAUGACCAGCCACACGGGAACUGGGACACGUGCCAGACUCCUACGGGAGGCAGCAGUGGUGAAGUUUGCACAAGGGGCGCAAUCCUGAUGCAGCCAUGCCGCUUGUAUGAAGAAGGCCUUCGGGUUGUAAAGUACUUUCAGCGGGGAGGCGUUACCCGCAGAAGAAGCACCGGCUAACUCCGUGCCAGCAGCCGCGGUAAUUC